GGAGAAAAGGUACCCAACCAUGUGAGAUCUUGGGCGGGACAGCCAUAGGCUGCUUGCUUCCCCAGAAAACAUCAUUUAGGAUUGAAGAAAUGUCUGAGCCCUCAAAGCAAUCGUCUCUGGAGCAUGAGGACUUGGAUCACCACUCCACAAACUCAUGUAAAAAACUAGGUGCACCAGCACAUACCAAUAAUGGUGAGAUGGGAGUCAGCAACAGUGCCACAAGAUGAGGCAUACUCCCGGUUACAAUGCACCACCUUCAAUCAGCUAAAAGCAUCUAACCAAGGAUGAAGAACUAUCUCCCAAACCGUGAGACAAAAAUCAACAUUUCUUCCCUUUCAGGGGGGCUGUCUUGGGUACUUUGUUACAACAACAGGAAGCUGGCUGAUACAGCAUAUAACUAAAGAUUUGCUAGGUAUCAUUUUAUCUUCUGAGACCAUGUUGUGAGUAGCAUUUCCCUUUUCCAAGUCCUUUGUAUUUGUCAAGUCUAGAAAUAGGGGUUUGCUUGAGGUAUCAAUUCCAUCUGUUUCAUUCAUAGAAACUGCUUGGCUCUCCUGGGCUUCUUUAUCCUACAUUGUGGCCUGGCACCUUGCCAGUCCACAAACUAUGGUGCUCAUAGGGUUUAUUUUGGGUUUCUUUUCACAGGUAGCACUGCCCUCUGUGGCUCUCUACCUUUCUCUGUCUCUUCUACCUCCUCAACUCCCCUUCCCAUGCCCUAAAUAAACUCUAUUCUAUUCUAAACCCAUGGUGUAGCUGAUACCUCAGGGCGGAAGGGAUGCCUCAACAUGGGCGUGCAGAGGCACCUCCUUCCCAGAGCCAUGCCGAGUCUGUACCAAACAUACCCCUGGUUUCUUUUUCUUUUUUUAUAAAACACAACAACCAUGAGUGGAGGCAAACAUUACAGUGUCUCCUCAGUUUAUAGAGUUAGAGUGGAAUCAGCAUGAGAUGUAAGGAGUCAAUGAUAAUUAAAAGUGACAACUACAGAAGUAUAUUUUAUACAUGUGAUCACUUAUGAAUGAGACCCUCCGCAGUGCCUUUAAGAAGAAUGGGUGAUUUAGGGUGUAAGUUACAGGAAUGGCCAGGCCCUGCCACUGAGGACCUUCCUACUGCAGAACACUCAGCAGGACCCAGCUACUCCAGACUGGGAAAGCCAAGCUCUGCCUUACAGAGUAAAGAGCCCAAGCUUAGGUGUUGAAAAUUCACCAAGCUCCAUCCUGGAACACCCCCACCCUGAAAUCCUAUAUAAACCCUGUCUUCUGCUCAGUUCUCUGCUGCUUCUUACCCCAGCAGAGGCAGCCAGACUCCUGAAGUUCCCCCAUGCCCCCCACCCAACAAAUCUUUUGUGUGAGGUUUGUUGUGUGGUGUGACUUUGUGGUAUUCCCUGGUUCCCUACCACCAUGAUACUCUCCCCUUUAGACCUGUAGCACUUUCCUUGGGGAAAGCUGCUCCCAUCAGAACUUCUCCCUCAUCCCCCCCUCACUGGCUUUGGGAUGCCUACUCAGUAGACAAGCAGGCCUCUCUGCAGCCACAGUGGCAGCUGCACUUCCCUUGGUGUGCUUCUCUCACUAAGUCCACAGAGGGCUGACUUUCCAUUCCUAAAUCCUUAUUGUGUGCUUGCUUGUUUGCUGAGACUCAAAGGCUUUGCAUUGUGAAUGAUAAAAGCAUUGUGUUUUUCUGACCUGUGAAAUCCACAAUCACAGACUUCUUGUACAACCCCCUCCCCCCUCCGCCUUUCUUUUUAACUAGGAACAUACUGAAAAUAAAGGCAGAAGUAUUAUGUGGAAUUAGGUAUUUACGUUGAUUUUUUUCCAACCUCCACAAACAACACAGCUAAUUUUGCAGCAAGUCUUUUCUGUUGCUUGGGAUUUUUAUCUAUCGAAUUAUGAAAUUUCAAAAGUUACUUGUUAUUGAAUAAGUAGU